rnacentral:rRNA from 1 species
AUUGAACGCUGGCGGCAUGCCUUACACAUGCAAGUCGAACGGUAACAGGCCGUCGGGUGCUGUCGAGUGGCGCACGGGUGAGUAAUGUAUCGGAACGUGUCCAGAGGCGGGGGAUAACGCAUCGAAAGCGGUGCUAAUACCGCAUGUGAUCUGAGGAUGAAAGCGGGGGACCACGCAGCAAUGCUUGGCCUCGCGUCUUUGGAGUGGCCGAUGUCAGAUUAGGUAGUUGGUGGGGUAAAGGCCUACCAAGCCGACGAUCUGUAGCUGGUCUGAGAGGACGACCAGCCACACUGGAACUGAGACACGGCCCAGACUCCUACGGGAGGCAGCAGUGGGGAAUUUUGGACAAUGGGCGCAAGCCUGAUCCAGCAAUGCCGCGUGCGGGAAGAAGGUCUUCGGGUUGUAAACCGCUUUUAUUCGGAAAGAAAAGGCUCUGGCUAAUACCUGGGGCUGAUGACGGUACCGAAAGAAUAAGCACCGGCUAACUACGUG